rnacentral:misc_RNA from 1 species
GAACGCCUCUAAGUCAGAAUCCGUGCUAGAAACGACGAUGUUGGUCCCGCACAUGUCAAUUGAGUUGAGAUAGAGCUUUGCUCGUGAACCAAAUCAGGUGGACUCGGCCGUCUUUGCGGAAAUGCUUUGGCGGUUCGUUCACGAAUUGUAAUCGUUAUAUGGGCGGGGGUGAAUCCUUUGCAGACGACUUGAAUGGGAACGGGGUACUGUAAGCGGUAGAGUAGCCUUGUUGCUACGAUCCGCUGAGGUUAAGCCCUUGUUCUAAAGAUUUGUUCGACUUUUCGGUCGGAUUUCUUCUUUCUUUUUUUCCAUGCCUCGUACUUCAGGGCCGGUCCAGUGGGACUUGAGCGCGGACAAGGCAUGCAGAGAGAAUGAAUGAAUCUGACCGUCAUGAAUCAAGAACAAAGGUUGGGGGAUCAAAAACAAUCAGUUGGGGUCGCGUUUUUUGUGUAUAUUGAGCAACACUGAUGACUUGGAUGGACUUGACCGAGUUUUGAAGGGCCAGCAAAUUAGUGACCGCAUUUUUGAAGGGUCAGAAAAUUAGUGACCGCACUUUUGAAGGGUCAGCAAAUUAGUGUCCGCAUUUUGAAGGAUCAAUGGACUUGAAUGAUGUUUCAUUGACAAGGGCAAUGGAUUGGUGACCGGGUUUUCAAGGGUCAAUAAACUUGAAUGGUAUUUAGGGAUCAAUGAAGUUGACCGCUUUUUGUGACAUGUCAGUGGUAACAAAAGGUGCACACAGUUGUUACAUUUAUCCACGGCCAUAGGACUCUG